rnacentral:tRNA from 1 species
GCCGGGAUAGCUCAGGUGGUAA